rnacentral:tRNA from 3 species
GGCGCUUUCAUCUAACGGUUAGGAUACAUGCCUCUCACGCAUGGUAUACGGGUUCGAUUCCCGUAGGCGCUACAA